UUUUUGCUAAUCAUUCACGGAAGAGUGGCAGGCACAGUCCUAGUAACCCCAAUUGGCAAAAAAAAAGUUAGGGGAGACCUAAAUGCAAAAUAAGGCUCUUCAUCCUUGAGAGAUUUGCUAAGAAAGAAGUAAAUUUAGUACAUACAUAUAUUUGGACAUGAGCCGGAACAUGUUGAGAAGGCAGAAAUACAAUCUCCAUUAGACUCUCUACGCAGCCUCCUGUACAUUCUUUCAAAAAAGAACCAUCAGCAUUAAAAAGUAUAUGCCUGGAUGGAGAAGCUUUCCAUUGAAUCCAUCUGCCAACGGGAGUAUAAUUAGGUACUGAAGGGAUAGAAAUAGCAAAUACGAUUAAUGAGUAGUGAAAGGACAUUGCCUUUGAUGGAGAAAACAGAAAAGUCUAUUUACCAUUUGGAGUAUCAUUAAGGACCAAACUGAAAAUAGCAAAUUCGUCUAUUGAGCAGUGAAAAGUCGCAGCCUUCCAUCGGGAGGAUUAGAAGUAAACUCCAUAAUGCCCAACCUUUUUACUUACAUAUGUUGAACUGAGAUUGCA
rnacentral:lncRNA from 1 species